rnacentral:rRNA from 1 species
CAGUCGCCGCGGUAAUACGUAUGUCACAAGCGUUAUCCGGAUUUAUUGGGCGUAAAGCGCGUCUAGGUGGUUAUGUAAGUCUGAUGUGAAAAUGCAGGGCUCAACUCUGUAUUGCGUUGGAAACUGUGUAACUAGAGUACUGGAGAGGUAAGCGGAACUACAAGUGUAGAGGUGAAAUUCGUAGAUAUUUGUAGGAAUGCCGAUGGGGAAGCCAGCUUACUGGACAGAUACUGACGCUAAAGCGCGAAAGCGUGGGUAGCAAACGGGAUUAGAUACCCGCGUAGUCCCUGUCUCUUAUACA